UCCAAUGGCAGAUCUGGAGUGGCGGACGAAUUCUGCACCAGAGCACUCCGCUGACGGUGGAGGGCAGCAGAAUGAAAAAAUCUGCGAUUGAAACACUGGCACUCCCGCCAGAGCAAAUGGCAGAGGGCCGCUGUAGCGCACGUCCACUUCCGAAAGCGCCCAGGAUGGUAUGGUAUAUGUGCCUAUUUAGAUCACUGACGCGGGAACAAGGGAAUCCUAUAAGCAGCCCGAAGCCAACGUUUCGACAUACGACACUUCGCCACAGCAACAACAGCCUUCCUUGGACGAAGGCCUCUCCCUGCGAUCUCCAAUUGCCGAUGUCCUGCGCCCGCAGCUGCUGGAGACUGAAGGCCGUUGGUUGAUCGAAUGAGUCAUUUAGGGGGGGUGAGUGGCCGAAUACUGCGCCAGGGAGGCUGAUUGCUGUUCUAGUGGGGUGGAUCAGCAUCAUAAUAUUCAAUAAACGAAAACGGAAGUGGUUCAAUGAAUAAAGCACCUAUUGAACUAAGGGCGGUAUUAUCGAGUCACUAAAAGAAAGGACAAAUUAACGUCGGUGGGAGACUGCAUUCGGGACUCCUGACGGGCUACACGAAUUUAAAGUCUCUCGCAUUCGGCCUCUGUGUCGCUCCCGCCACAUUUCAUCAAAUUAUGGACGCUAUACUCGCUAACUGGACGACGUAGUUGUGUCUUCGAGCACAUUCGACGAACAUCUGGCAUGGCUGAAAAGCGUUCUAUCCGCGAGGGAAAUCUAGCUAUUAGGUCUGAGAAAUGUCACUUUGGUUUCCAGCACUCAAGUUCCUCGGACACGUGGUCAGCCCCCAGGACGUUCAGCCAGAGCCUGAGUAGCUGGCUGCC